rnacentral:rRNA from 1 species
AUGAACGCUAGCGGUGCGCCUAACACAUGCAAGUCGAGCGGGUUUAUUUGUGACACAGAGUAGGGAAGCAAUUCCACAUUCUGUGUCACAGGUAAUCUAGCGGCAAACGGGUGCGUAACACGUUGAUAUCUCCCCCGAAGUCAGGGAUAGCCUCGAGAAAUCGAGAGUAAUACCGGAUGGUCCCGUAAGGGUAAAGGAGCAAUUCGCUUCGGGAAGAGUCUGCGGCCUAUCAGCUAGUUGGCGGGGUAAUAGCCCACCAAGGCGAUGACGGGUAGCUGGUCUGAGAGGACGGCCAGCCACAAUGGAACUGAGACACGGUCCAUACUCCUACGGGAGGCAGCAGUGAGGAAUCUUCCACAAUGGGUGAAAGCCUGAUGGAGCGACACCGCGUGAAGGAUGAAGCCUUUGUUGGUGUAAACUUCUUUUCUCUUGGAAGAUAAUGACGGUACAAGAGGAAUAAGGGGCGGCAAACUUCGU